UCUAGGCUCGCACAUCGAUGAAGAACGCUGCGAACUUCGAUACGUAAUGCGAAUUGCAGGAUUCAGUGAGUCAUCGAAAUUUUGAACGCAUAUUGCACUUCCGGGUUAGUCCUGGAAGUAUGCCUGUAUCAGUGUCC
rnacentral:rRNA from 1 species